CUGGCUGCUAUCCCCACUAUAUCCCUGGUGGAAGCAGGGAGGCCACGGGGCCGUGGGAACAGGCUGGGUGUCACAAGGAGGAGGGGACAUGGGCACCUUGAGGUGAUGGACAUGGAGCGGUGCAUGGAAUCAUGCCACCCUAAGGGACAGUGUGUGACAGAGGGGACCUCGACGCAGCGGCAGAACUCAGGACCGGAGCAGGAUUGGGUCCUGCCAGCAGAUGGCAGCAGCAUCCAGGGGACACCGGGGACACCGGGGACUCGGGACAAUGUCGCAACGUCCGCUCACUCCAACCCUCCUGUCUCCAUAUCCUCGUGCAUAUGGUGCAGUUCUGGUGUUUCUUUCCCACAUGUACAUAGGAGGUGUCACCCCACGGCCACGAGCAUCUGUGCUCAGCAGAACCAGAGGAUCCUCCCUCUGCGUUUCCCUUCCCUGGGGAACCCCUUCUGCCUGUUUCCGAGCAGCCCCAAGCCCCUCCACCCCACUCUUGCCCCAUCCCAGAGCCCCCAGAAGGAGCCAUGGUCCCAUGGUGUGCAGCUGCGGGUGCCGGGCUGUGCUGGGUGCCUGCAGUGCUCAGCUCCAGGAGGCAGCACUGACCACGUGUGGGCCUGAGCCAGCCAAAGAUCCCAAAGCAAGGGGCUUUCCUCCCUCUCCUAUUCUGUUCUGAGUGCCAGAAUCUGCAGCCUGAAGCAAGGUGCAUGGUGCUGCACGCAACAAGCAUCGUCCUGCCUUGUGAGGAGAGCCCAAGGGCUGGAAAGAAUGUUGCCCAAUCUGCUAUCUGCGUUUCAUCAACAUCCUGUGUUUACAUGGCUGCAAAUUCCCUGCGAGCAAGGGAGGAAGAGGAGGGAGAGAGCCUCUUCCCCUUCUGCUGCGCGAUGGAGCAACCCCCGGCCCCAGGGCUCCUCACUCUGCCCCAGUCCAUAGUGCUGCCUGGAGAGGCCAGGAAAGUGGAGUGGGUCCCCUUACCCAUGGUAUUGGUGGGAG
ensembl:lncRNA